rnacentral:tRNA from 1 species
GCUUCUAAAGGAUAACAGCUCAUCCACUGGUCUUAGGAACCAGAGACUCUUGGUGCAAGUCCAAGUAGCAGCU